UUAAGUUAUUAAGGGCGCACGGUGGAUGCCUUGGCACUAGAAGCCGAUGAAGGACGUUACUAACGACGAUAUGCUUUGGGGAGCUGUAAGUAAGCUUUGAUCCAGAGAUUUCCGAAUGGGGAAACCCAGCAUGAGUUAUGUCAUGUUAUCGAUAUGUGAAUACAUAGCAUAUCAGAAGGCACACCCGGAGAACUGAAACAUCUUAGUACCCGGAGGAAGAGAAAGAAAAUUCGAUUCCCUUAGUAGCGGCGAGCGAAACGGGAAGAGCCCAAACCAACAAGCUUGCUUGUUGGGGUUGUAGGACACUCUAUACGGAGUUACAAAGGACGACAUUAGACGAAUCAUCUGGAAAGAUGAAUCAAAGAAGGUAAUAAUCCUGUAGUCGAAAAUGUUGUCUCUCUUGAGUGGAUCCUGAGUACGACGGAGCACGUGAAAUUCCGUCGGAAUCUGGGAGGACCAUCUCCUAAGGCUAAAUACUCUCUAGUGACCGAUAGUGAACCAGUACCGUGAGGGAAAGGUGAAAAGCACCCCGGAAGGGGAGUGAAAUAGAACCUGAAACCGUGUGCUUACAAGUAGUCAGAGCCCGUUAAUGGGUGAUGGCGUGCCUUUUGUAGAAUGAACCGGCGAGUUACGAUUUGAUGCAAGGUUAAGCAGUAAAUGUGGAGCCGUAGCGAAAGCGAGUCUGAAUAGGGCGUUUAGUAUUUGGUCGUAGACCCGAAACCAGGUGAUCUACCCUUGGUCAGGUUGAAGUUCAGGUAACACUGAAUGGAGGACCGAACCGACUUACGUUGAAAAGUGAGCGGAUGAACUGAGGGUAGCGGAGAAAUUCCAAUCGAACCUGGAGAUAGCUGGUUCUCUCCGAAAUAGCUUUAGGGCUAGCCUCAAGUGAUGAUUAUUGGAGGUAGAGCACUGUUUGGACGAGGGGCCCCUCUCGGGUUACCGAAUUCAGACAAACUCCGAAUGCCAAUUAAUUUAACUUGGGAGUCAGAACAUGGGUGAUAAGGUCCGUGUUCGAAAGGGAAACAGCCCAGACCACCAGCUAAGGUCCCAAAAUAUAUGUUAAGUGGAAAAGGAUGUGGCGUUGCCCAGACAACUAGGAUGUUGGCUUAGAAGCAGCCAUCAUUUAAAGAGUGCGUAAUAGCUCACUAGUCGAGUGACACUGCGCCGAAAAUGUACCGGGGCUAAACAUAUUACCGAAGCUGUGGAUUGUCCUUUGGACAAUGGUAGGAGAGCGUUCUAAGGGCGUUGAAGCAUGAUCGUAAGGACAUGUGGAGCGCUUAGAAGUGAGAAUGCCGGUGUGAGUAGNGAAAGACGGGUGAGAAUCCCGUCCACCGAUUGACUAAGGUUUCCAGAGGAAGGCUCGUCCGCUCUGGGUUAGUCGGGUCCUAAGCUGAGGCCGACAGGCGUAGGCGAUGGAUAACAGGUUGAUAUUCCUGUACCACCUAUAAUCGUUUUAAUCGAUGGGGGGACGCAGUAGGAUAGGCGAAGCGUGCGAUUGGAUUGCACGUCUAAGCAGUAAGGCUGAGUAUUAGGCAAAUCCGGUACUCGUUAAGGCUGAGCUGUGAUGGGGAGAAGACAUUGUGUCUUCGAGUCGUUGAUUUCACACUGCCGAGAAAAGCCUCUAGAUAGAAAAUAGGUGCCCGUACCGCAAACCGACACAGGUAGUCAAGAUGAGAAUUCUAAGGUGAGCGAGCGAACUCUCGUUAAGGAACUCGGCAAAAUGACCCCGUAACUUCGGGAGAAGGGGUGCUCUUUAGGGUUAACGCCCAGAAGAGCCGCAGUGAAUAGGCCCAAGCGACUGUUUAUCAAAAACACAGGUCUCUGCUAAACCGUAAGGUGAUGUAUAGGGGCUGACGCCUGCCCGGUGCUGGAAGGUUAAGAGGAGUGGUUAGCUUCUGCGAAGCUACGAAUCGAAGCCCCAGUAAACGGCGGCCGUAACUAUAACGGUCCUAAGGUAGCGAAAUUCCUUGUCGGGUAAGUUCCGACCCGCACGAAAGGCGUAACGAUUUGGGCACUGUCUCAACGAGAGACUCGGUGAAAUCAUAGUACCUGUGAAGAUGCAGGUUACCCGCGACAGGACGGAAAGACCCCGUGGAGCUUUACUGUAGCCUGAUAUUGAAAUUCGGCACAGCUUGUACAGGAUAGGUAGGAGCCUUUGAAACGUGAGCGCUAGCUUACGUGGAGGCGCUGGUGGGAUACUACCCUAGCUGUGUUGGCUUUCUAACCCGCACCACUUAUCGUGGUGGGAGACAGUGUCAGGCGGGCAGUUUGACUGGGGCGGUCGCCUCCUAAAAGGUAACGGAGGCGCUCAAAGGUUCCCUCAGAAUGGUUGGAAAUCAUUCAUAGAGUGUAAAGGCAUAAGGGAGCUUGACUGCGAGACCUACAAGUCGAGCAGGGUCGAAAGACGGACUUAGUGAUCCGGUGGUUCCGCAUGGAAGGGCCAUCGCUCAACGGAUAAAAGCUACCCCGGGGAUAACAGGCUUAUCUCCCCCAAGAGUUCACAUCGACGGGGAGGUUUGGCACCUCGAUGUCGGCUCAUCGCAUCCUGGGGCUGUAGUCGGUCCCAAGGGUUGGGCUGUUCGCCCAUUAAAGCGGUACGCGAGCUGGGUUCAGAACGUCGUGAGACAGUUCGGUCCCUAUCCGUCGUGGGCGUAGGAAAUUUGAGAGGAGCUGUCCUUAGUACGAGAGGACCGGGAUGGACAUACCUCUGGUGUACCAGUUGUCGUGCCAACGGCAUAGCUGGGUAGCUAUGUGUGGACGGGAUAAGUGCUGAAAGCAUCUAAGCAUGAAGCCCCCCUCAAGAUGAGAUUUCCCAACUUCGGUUAUAAGAUCCCUCAAAGAUGAUGAGGUUAAUAGGUUCGAGGUGGAAGCAUGGUGACAUGUGGAGCUGACGAAUACUAAUCGAUCGAAGACUUAAUCAA
rnacentral:rRNA from 1 species